rnacentral:lncRNA from 1 species
AUGGCAAAAUUACCAGAGUUUAUUGCUCUUGAAUCAGUCAAGAACAGGAAAUACCUGGUCUACAAACACCAACCCACCAUCCCAAAGCUGCCAAAUUUUCUCCAAUGCUCCGGACAGGAUAGUCACAGCAAAGACGCAAGGUUCAAAGUGGAGAAGGACGUAAACGACCCCAGUCUGGUGCAUAUAAAAUGCACCUACAACGACAAAUACUUGAGACUGGAAAGCCAACACAGUUCGUGGAUUGUGGCCGACGCUGACAAGAAACAGCCAAAUAAAACCCUGUGGUCAUGUACACUCUUCAAGCCGGAGGGUUUGGAAUUCCCGGGACUGCACGGCUUAUACAAGUUCAUCCACGUGUACACGGAAAAGCCUAUAGGGCCAAAAUCUGAACCCCUCUUUGAGGAUGUCCUCGCUGUAGAAAGUGCAAAACCCAGCGAAAUCCAUGCCUUCAUUGUCGAAAAACUUCCAGGAUGA